UACAGAGGGGGCGAGCGUUGUUCGGAUUUACUGGGCGUAAAGGGCGCGCAGGCGGCGGAUCAAGUCAGACGUGAAAGCCCCGGGCUUAACCUGGGAACUGCGUUUGGGACUGAUUUGCUAGAGAUCGGGAGAGGAGAGUGGAAUUCCCGGUGUUGUGGUGAAAUGCGUAGAUAUCGGGAGGAACACCAGUGGCGAAUGCGGCCCUCUGGGCCGGGUCUGACGCUGAGGCGCGAAGGCGUGGGGAGCGAUCCGG
rnacentral:rRNA from 1 species